rnacentral:SRP_RNA from 1 species
CUUGGUGGAGCCUCGGCGCUAUAGUCCGUUGCAACUCAAGAUGGUAGGGCGAGGGUAAAACGGGCCGGAAAGGAGGAAGCAGACGGAACGCUGGAGAAGAGAGGGGGAAACCUCCUUCUCUCUUUAGCGUUUAGUCUGCUUCCUGCUCCCCGGCCCGUCUUACCCUCACCCUACCUUC